rnacentral:miRNA from 1 species
UGCGAUUCGGAACCAUUCACUG